GAUGAACGCUGGCGGCGUGCCUAAUACAUGCAAGUCGAGCGAACAGAUGAGGAGCUUGCUCCUCUGACGUUAGCGGCGGACGGGUGAGUAACACGUGGAUAACCUACCUAUAAGACUGGGAUAACUUCGGGAAACCGGAGCUAAUAGCGGAUAAUAUAUUGAACCGCAUGGUUCAAUAGUGAAAGACGGUUUUGCUGUCACUUAUAGAUGGAUCCGCGCCGCAUUAGCUAGUUGGUAAGGUAACGGCUUACCAAGGCAACGAUGCGUAGCCGACCUGAGAGGGUGAUCGGCCACACUGGAACUGAGACACGGUCCAGACUCCUACGGGAGGCAGCAGUAGGGAAUCUUCCGCAAUGGGCGAAAGCCUGACGGAGCAACGCCGCGUGAGUGAUGAAGGUCUUCGGAUCGUAAAACUCUGUUAUUAGGGAAGAACAAAUGUGUAAGUAACUAUGCACGUCUUGACGGUACCUAAUCAGAAAGCCACGGCUAACUACGUG
rnacentral:rRNA from 1 species